rnacentral:rRNA from 1 species
CAGCAGCCGCGGUAAUACGUAGGGUCCAAGCGUUAAUCGGAAUUACUGGGCGUAAAGCGUGCGCAGGCGGUUGUGCAAGACCGAUGUGAAAUCCCCGAGCUUAACUUGGGAAUUGCAUUGGUGACUGCACGGCUAGAGUGUGUCAGAGGGGGGUAGAAUUCCACGUGUAGCAGUGAAAUGCGUAGAGAUGUGGAGGAAUACCGAUGGCGAAGGCAGCCCCCUGGGAUAACACUGACGCUCAUGCAUGAAAGCGUGGGGAGCAAACAGGAUUAGAUACCCUGGUAGUCCACGCCCUAAACGAUGUCAACUAGUUGUUGGGGAUUCAUUUCCUUAGUAACGUAGCUAACGCGUGAAGUUGACCGCCUGGGGAGUACGGUCGCAAGAUUAAAACUCAAAGAAAUUGACGG